rnacentral:rRNA from 1 species
UACGUAGGGUGCAAGCGUUGUCCGGAAUUAUUGGGCGUAAAGAGCUCGUAGGCGGUUUGUCGCGUCUGAUGUGAAAGCCCUGGGCUCAACCUGGGAAUUGCAUUGGAUACUGGCAGGCUAGAGUGCGGUAGAGGGUAGUGGAAUUCCCGGUGUAGCAGUGAAAUGCGUAGAGAUCGGGAGGAACAUCUGUGGCGAAGGCGGCCCUCUGGACCGUUGCUGACGCUGAGACGCGAAAGCGUGGGGAGCAAACAGG